rnacentral:rRNA from 1 species
GACGAACGCUGGCGGCGUGCCUAAUACAUGCAAGUCGAGCGAAUCAGUGGGAGCUUGCUCCCUGAGAUUAGCGGCGGACGGGUGAGUAACACGUGGGUAACCUGCCUGUAAGACUGGGAUAACUUCGGGAAACCGGAGCUAAUACCGGAUACGUUCUUUUCUCGCAUGAGGAGAGAUGGAAAGAUGGUUCUGCUAUCACUUACAGAUGGACCCGCGGCGCAUUAGCUAGUUGGUGAGGUAACGGCUCACCAAGGCGACGAUGCGUAGCCGACCUGAGAGGGUGAUCGGCCACACUGGGACUGAGACACGGCCCAGACUCCUACGGGAGGCAGCAGUAGGGAAUCUUCCGCAAUGGACGAAAGUCUGACGGAGCAACGCCGCGUGAGCGAAGAAGGCCUUCGGGUCGUAAAGCUCUGUUGUCAGGGAAGAACAAGUACGAGAGUAACUGCUCGUACCUUGACGGUACCUAACCAGAAAGCCACGGCUAACUACGUGCCAGCCGCCGCCGUAA